rnacentral:rRNA from 1 species
AACGAACGCUGGCGGCAGGCCUAACACAUGCAAGUCGAGCGGGGACUUCGGUCCUAGCGGCGGACGGGUGAGUAACGCGUGGGAACGUGCCCUUUGCUUCGGAAUAGCCCCUGGAAACGGGGAGUAAUACCGGAUGUGCUCGAGAGAGGAAAGAUUUUUUCGGCAAAAGGAUCGGCCCCGCGUUGGAUUAGGUAGUUGGUGGGGGUAAUGGCCUACCAAGCCGACGAUCCAUAGCUGGUUUGAGAGGAUGAUCAGCCACACUGGGACUGAGACACGGCCCAGACUCCUACGGGAGGCAGCAGUGGGGAAUAUUGGACAAAUGGGGGCAACCCUGAUCAGCCAUGCCGCGUGAGUGAAGAAGGCCU